rnacentral:tRNA from 1 species
GCCCGGGUGGCUUAGCUGGACAUAGCGCCGCACUCAUAGGGUCGUCAGACUCGCGCGGCACCAUUCCGGCAUGUCUCGGUGGGCUUUCGUCGAGCCUGUGACCUGGGGCAUGCGGAGAUCGAGGGUUCGGAGCCCUCCCCGGGCA